AUCACAGUUUGUCACAUACAAACGUCUUUAAGCAAGAUGGCGAGCACACUGCUUGCCGUUAGGCUUCUGGCAUUUUUGCUCUUGGGUAUACGAUGUGUUUUCGGAAAUACUUCUGAUUGUGAGACGGUUAAGGAUAUACUGAGCAAUGAAAUUUUUGAUCUUAAGGCUGAAAAUAAACAACUCCAGUCUAGAAUUAAAAAGAUGGAAUUGAUGAUGCAGAUCCUAACAAUCAGGCAAAAUAGGCACAGAUCGAAUUGAGAUGAUUGAAACUAGAAUCAGUGCUAUCGAAACAAAAAUGCCUGAAAGCAC